UUUUUUUCUUGUAAAUUUCCUUAAGUUCUUUGUAGAUUCUGGAUAUUAGCUCUUUGUCAGAUGGGUAGAUUGCAAAAAUUUUCUCCCAUUCUGUAUGUUGCCUGUUCACUCUGAUGACAUUUUAUUUUGGUGUGCAGAAGCUCUUUAGUUUAAUUAGAUCCCAUUUGUCAAUUUUGGAUUUGUUGCCAUUGCUUGUAGUGUUUUAAUCAUGAAGUAUUUGACCAUGCCUAUGUCCCGAAUGGUAUUGCCUAGGUUUUCUUCUAGGACUUUUAUGGUUUUAGGUCUUACAUUUAAGUUUUUAAUACAUCUUGAGUUAAUUUUUGUAUAAGGUGUAAGGAAGGGAUCCAGUUUCAGCUUUCUACAUAUGGCUAGCCAGUUUUCUCAGCACCAUUAAUUAAAUAGGGAAUCCUUUCCCCAUUGCUUGUUUUUGUCAGGUUUGUCAAAGAUCAGAUAACUGUAGAUGUAUGGUGCUAUUUCUGAGGCCUCUGCUCUGUUCCAUUGGUCUAUAUCUCUGUUUUGGUACCAGUACCAUGCUGUUUUUGUUACUGUAGCCUUGUAGUAUAGUUUGAAGUCAGGUAGUGUGAUGCCUCCAGGUUUGUUCUUUUUGCCUAGGAGUGUCUUGGCUAUAUGGGCUCUUUUUUGGUUCCAUAUGAACUUUAAAGGAAUUUUUUUUUUUUUCCAAUUCAGCGAAGAAAGUCAGUGGUAGCUUGAUGGGGAUAGCAUUGAACCUGUAAAUAAUGUUGGGCAGUAUGGGCAUUUUCACUAUAUUGAUUCUUCUUAUCCAUGAGCAUGGAAUGUUCUUCCAUUUGUUUGUGUCUUCCUUUAUUUCACUGAGCAGUGGUUUGUAGUUCUCCUUGAAGAGGUCCAUCACCUCCCUUGUAAGUUGGAUUCCUAGGUAUUUCAUUCUCUUUGUAGUAAUUGUGAAUGGGAGUUCACUCAUGAUUUGGCUGUCUGUUUGUCUGUUCUUGGCAUAUAGGAAUGCUUGUGAUUUUAGCACAUUGAUUUUAUAUCCUGAGACUUCGUUAAAUUUGCUUGCCAGCUUAAGGAGAUUUUGGGCUGAGACGAUGGGGUUUUCUAAAUAUACAAUCGUGUCAUCUUCAAACAGAGACAGUUUGACUUCCUUUUUUCCAAUUUGAAUACCCUUGAUUUCUUUCUCCUGCCUGAUUGCCCUGGCCAGAACUUCCAAUACUAUGUUAAAUAAGAGUCAUAAGAGAGGGCAUCCUUGUUUUGUGACAGUUUUCAAAAGGAAUUCUUCCAGUUUCUGCAAAUUCACUAUGAUAUUGGCUAUGGGUUUGUCAUAAACAGCUCUUAUUAUUUUGAGAUACGUUCCAUUAAUACCUAGUUUAUUGAGAGCUUUUAGCAUGAAAGGCUGUUGAAUUGUGUUGAAAGUCUUUUCUACACUUAUUGAGAUAAUCACGUGGUUUAUGGCGUUCGUUCUGUUUAUGUGAUGGAUUACAUUUAUUGAUUUGGGUAUGUUGAACCAGCUUUGCAUCCCAGGGAUGAAGCUGACUUGACUGUGGUGG
rnacentral:lncRNA from 1 species